rnacentral:rRNA from 1 species
AUUGAACGCUGGCGGCAUGCUUUACACAUGCAAGUCGAACGGCAGCACGGGGGUAACCCUGGUGGCGAGUGGCGAACGGGUGAGUAAUGCAUCGGAACAUAUCUUAAAGUGGGGAAUAACGCAUCGAAAGGUGUGCUAAUACUCCAUAUACUCUAAGGAGGAAAGCGGGGGAUCGAAAGACCUCGUGCUUUAAGGGUGGCCGAUGUCUGAUUAGCUAGUUGGUGGGGUAAAGGCUUACCAAGGCGACGAUCAGUAGCUGGUCUGAGAGGACGAUCAGCCACACUGGGACUGAGACACGGCCCAGACUCCUACGGGAGGCAGCAGUGGGGAAUAUUGGACAAUGGGCGAAAGCCUGAUCCAGCAAUGCCGCGUGAGUGAUGAAGGCCCUAGGGUUGUAAAGCUCUUUUACCCGGGAUGAUAAUGACAGUACCGGGAGAAUAAGCUCCGGCUAACUCCGUGCCAGCAGCCGCGGUAAGGCACGACUGU